GCUGGGGUGGCGAAACUGGCAGACGCGCAGGACUUAGGAUCCUGUGGGGCGACCCGUGGGGGUUCGAGUCCCCCCUUUCGCACCA
rnacentral:tRNA from 1 species